UAUAAUCAUAAACUUUAUCUGUCUUAUUAAUAUUAUAUGUGAGGUCCCUCCAGGAAGCAUUUUUACAUAAUCUGAAAAUCAUCCUAUUUUAAUAUGCCAGUGAUCACACUCAGGUCUUACAAUUAUAAUGCUGGGAAUCUAGUUCUCCCACAAAAAAUCCUAGAUAUAAGAGCAUUCCAAUAUUCUUCCAAAUCAUUUAUAUUAAUGAAAACUGGAAAUGAUUAUUACAUACUUAAAAAUAAGUUUUUGGUUAAAGAAGAUAAAGGAUGACCACUCUAUAUUAUGGAAUUAUUAUUUUUUAUUUAUAGGUUAACAGGAGUUUCUUGCUGUAUGUUGAGUGAAUAUAAAAAGUAUGGCAAAUUGUAUAAUAGAAACAAAACAAUACUUGGAAAAGUGGGGGGGAAGUAUGAUUUAGAUACUGUAAUGUAUUUGCUUUUUCUCAUGUGACACUGUAAAUUUUUGUUUUAGAAGAGUUGCAUUUACAUUUAAUUUUGACAUAAUUUUAUGGCAUUUAAAAGUUCUGAGAAAAACAGAAAACAAUAUAUUACAGUAAAUGUGGUUUUUGUUGUCAUGGAGUUUAUGUUGUGCUUAGAAGAACAGACAUUAUUCAUAUCACCCAUUAAUUAAUAUAACUUUGAUAAACAAUCUGAGAAGUUUCUAUUGCCAAUGGAUUAUAAAUGGAGUGAGUUUUAUGUGCCCCAAAUUGCCAGAUAAAUUUUCAGGAAAAAAGUUUAAAAUAUAUUAAAUUGAUACCUGAAAAAAAGAUCUCUGUAUCUCUCUUUUUAACUAUUAUUCCUUUCUGCCUCGUGUUUGUGUUUUAAUAGGUACCUUCCAUAAUCUUCCCUUUGCAAACUUCUUGAUGAUAAUGUGUAUUGACUCUACCUUUGUAUUAUCCACAUGGUGUGAAUGUUAUCCUUCUUCGGUGUCAAUGUUCUUGUGCAUAAAAUGCAGAAUUACCAAAGCUUCAUGUAGAUAAGACCAAGGGCUUGGUUCCAUCAGAGACGUGCAGCAGAGGAAGAUGGCAGAGGAGAGAACUAGAGCACGAGAAGAAUUGUCCCGCCAAUGCUUGCUUUGAAAGUUGGGAGUGGGGAAAUGCGGGUGGCCUCUAAGUAGAAAAUGACCCCUUGUCAAUAUCCAGCAAAUUUAAGUAAAUUGGGACUUACCUUCACCUGACGACUCAGCCUGGAACUUGCAGUGGAAUUGCUCUCUCGGAUGACGUUUCACAGAUCCUCCACAGUGAACCCUAAACAUAAGGGUGAUAGGAAAAAUGAACAAAAUUGUGGGAAGGGAAGUGAAACCAAACUGUUAACUCCAAGAGAACAAUAAAGAAU